rnacentral:misc_RNA from 1 species
UUGAUAUUAACUGUGUGGUAGUGGCCAGUGUUUAGUGAUUUUUCAUUGAAGAAAAAAACAAGAUGGCGUCAAAAAUGAUGACGUUGUAUCGAACCAUCAAGGGAACGAGCACUACAAAAAGGAAAAGGCGAGAAAGAAGCCUAGGGCCGUUUGAGGCGGCGACAGGAGGCGAGAUGGUGUCUAGAAGACGUAUACUGUCGCGGUCGCGCGACGACCUCACACAAGCCUUUGCCACACAGAUGGAGGAGGAGGAAGAUGUGUGGUACCAGAAGGAUAAGCUUUAUAAGGAACACAUACAAGAAGUUCUGGAUAAAUGGACACAGAUCGACGACGAGAUCUGGGCGAAAGUGAUAGUGUUCGAGCGUAAUCGUCGUGUCGCCAAGGCAUAUGCGCGGGCGCCGGUGCUCACAAUCAAUGGGUCCGAUGAUGGAUUUGAUGGCAUGAGAAUCGGACUUUGCGGAUUCGACAACCCACAUAGAGACCAGAAAACAGAUGAAUUGAAAAGGCACAUAGGACAGGGCGUGAAAAUAAAAAUGGACGACGCCGGCAACAUACUCAUCAGGCGCUACUCCAAGAGUAGCGUGUCUGUGAAGAGUACAGCGGCGACAAGCACCGAGGAGACGGCUAUUGGCCAGGACAUACUCAAGCUGCCUGGAUAUGCGCUCGAACAGGAGAAGAUAUUUAAGCUAUUCGACAUGAAGAAGUUCCAGUCGAACGUGAACAGGGAGCUCCGGAGGUCGUAUCCUGACCGCAGACGGUUGGAGACCCAGUGCCUCAGCGCCAUUGCCUUCGUCAAGUCUGAAAACGAGCUGCUCGACUGCCCCAUCUGGGUGCUCAUCAUCAACGUCGUCGCUAUGGACAUGCUCAAGUCUAAGCUGCCUCCAGUCCAAAGACCACUGGACAUCAAGAACAGGCCUCGCAUCCCGAUUCCUGACGAGGACCCCUAUAGCAUCGCGAGCUCCAACGCCAACGGGUCAGGCUCCAGUGGAAGCUCAGGAGGCUACGGCCACAACGGGCACGGCGUAGUAGCAGCUACCAGGGAACAGCUGAUGAUGCAGAUGGGCCAGCGACGGGGAGACAAACCGCCCAAACUGCCGCCGAGGGAGAAUGGAUAUGGGCCCGCUGAUAUUCCCAAGCCGGAUUACGAUGACAUCGAUGUGAAUGGGCGUGUGCCGACACAGUUCCCGAGAGGCAAAUCGGAUAAGGGCAAAGACAAUAAGAAAUACGACGAUCCGUACUACUGCGGCCUGCGCGCUCGUGUGCCAAACUUCGUGAAGACGAAUGGCGUGAAGCACCUACCGCAAAUGACGGAGCGCCUCACGUUGAAGGAAGCUCCAAUCCCGGUGCCAAGCAAGCGCUUCAGCGUUGCCCACGCGCACCCCGGCCCGUUCCCGCCACACAUGGCGCCGUUCGCGCAUGCGCCCAUGCCACCCGCGGCUCUCUGGCAUGCACGCUCCUACGAGAGCGGAAUCGGUGCGUACGACCGUCCGAAAAAAGAAAAGCUCAUGUACCAAUUCUAUCCUGACAGGGAGCGGCGGAUUAUCCGGCCGCUCAUCAUCCAGCAGCCGCGCUAGUGUACAUACAGACUAACCCGCACUUUAACUCCGGACUCUUCGCUCCAAUCUUGAUGGAGAACAUUAUGACCCGUAUGCGUUGUAUGGCCGUCUCCCCCUCCCCGGCCGUGGAUUCCCCCCUCCCCCGGCGCCGCACGCGCGCCAUAUGUUCAUCGGAGAGUGGGACUAGACUUAUACACACCCUUAGAU